rnacentral:rRNA from 1 species
UCCGCUCGUUCCUACGGAGGUGGAGCUUGAGCGCGUGCGAUAGUACCCGAAAGAUGGUGAACUAUGCCUGGCAGGGGCGAAGCCAGAGGAAACUCUGGUGAGGCCGCGCAGCGUCCUGACGUGCAAAUCGGUCGUCGUCCACGACCUGGGCAUGAGGGCGAAAGACUAAUCGAACCAUCUAGUAGCUGGUUCCCUCCGAAGUUUCCCUCAGGAUAGCUGGCGCUCAUUACUCGCAUUUUAUCUGGUAAGCGAAUGACUAGAGGCCUUGGGGCCGGAAACGAUCUCAAACCUAUUCUCAAACUUUAAUGGGGUAAGACGGCCCUGCGCCUGGCUUGGACGCGGCGUGGGCGAAUGCGAGUUGCACGUGGUCAUCUUUGGUAAGCAGAACUGCGGGGCGGGCAUAGUGAACCGAACGGGCCGCAUCAGGCGCCCGUUAGCGGUCAUCCUUGCGCCAUGACGCUCCGCAGUAGUAUGAGCACAGAUCGGUUGUGUUGGUUGAUAUAGACAGCAGGAGGUGCCACGGAAGUCGGAAUCCGCUAAUGAGUGUGUGUACAACUCACCUGCCGAAUCAACUAGCUCUAGGUGGCGCUGGAGGUCUGUGCGAUGCGUCGGGUGUCGUCGUGUCCAUGCGCCGCGGUCGAGGCGAUCGAGGUCCUCGUGGUGUGGGCUCAGCUCGGCGGCUACUGCGAGUAUGGAGUGGCGGCCGCGCGGUGCCACCAGAAUGAGCUAGUGCGCGGCGCCGGGUGGAGCCGCCGGCGGGUGCAGAUCUGGUGUAGUUAGCAAUAUUCAAACGAGAACUUUGAAGGGCCGAAGUGGAGAAGGGUUCCAUGUGGAACAGAGUUGAACAUGGGUCAGUCGGUCCUAAGGAGAUUUGGCGAACGCGCGUUCAAAAGUGCGGUCCGAUCGCCUCCGUCGCCCCGGUCAGUCAGUAGAGGGAGGUCGGGUUCCAGAUCCCCCGAGAUCUGUGAGACGGCGAUAGAUAGCGCCAGGAGGAUGUCCGUGCGGUAACGCAAACGACCCCGGAGAAGCUGGCGGAGCCCCGGGCAGAGUUCUCUUUUCUUUGUGAAGGGGGCAGGCGCCCUGGAAUGGGUUCGCCCCGAGGAUAGGGGCCCGUGCCCUGGAAAAAGUGUCGUCGCGGUUCCGCGGCGUCGGUGAGGCUCCUCGCUGGCCCUUGAAAAUCCGGUGCGUGAGAAGGUGUAAAUCUCGCGCCAGGCCGUACCCAUAUCCGUCGAGCAGUCUUCUCAGGUGAACAGCCUCUGGCAUGAUGGAACAAGGGGGUAAGGGAAGUCGCAAAUCUCAGAUCCGUAACUUCGGGAUAGAGGAUUGGCUCUAAGGGCUGGGCGCUCGGUCGGCUGGGGUGCGAAAGGGGCUGGGCCUGGCCGCGGGCUGGGGAAGCAGCCACCGCCGCCUCGGGUCCCUCCCCCUCCUGAAGCGUCUCUCGGGCGGGCGGUGGGCCUCGAGAGGGUCUUUUGCGUGGGUCGGCUCUUCGGGGUCCGUCGCGGCGCGGGGCUCGAGGGUCUGCUCUCGUCCGGGGUGUGGACGGUUGGGUGUGGGGGCUUCAGGCUCGGGCCGACGCGGUCCGUGGCGACUCGUGGAGUCUGCGUCGGGCCCUUCUCUGCGGAUCUCCUCAGCUACGGUGGCUGUAGCGGCGUCCACCCGGGGUCGCUGGCGGCUCGCCUUCGGCUGGCACCUAGCAGCUGACUUAGAACUGGUGCGGCCAGGGGAAUCCGACUGUUAAUAGAUAAACAGAGCAUCGCGGAGGGCCCGACGGAUGUUGACGCAAUGUGAUUUCUGGCCCAGUGCUCUGAAUGUCAAGUGAAGAAAUUCAAUUGAAGCGCGGGUAAAGCGGCGGGUAACUAUGACUCUCUUAAGGUAGCCAAAUGCUCGUCAUCUAAUUAGUGACGCGCAUGAAUGGAUGAACGAGAUUCCCACGUCCCUGACCUACUACUCUCAGCGAAACCACAGCAAGGGAACGGGCUUGGCAGAAUCAGCGGGGGAAAGAAGACCCUGUUUGAGCUUGCUCUCUAGUCUGGUACUGUGAAGAGACAUGAGAGGUGUAGAAUAAGUGGCAGUCCCGGCCGACGUUGAAAUACCCACUACUCUUAUCGUUUUUUUCCACUUUACCCGGUGAGGGCGGGGAGGCGAGCCCCGAGCGGGUUUUCGUUUCUGGUGUCAAACCCCCGGCCUGCGGCGGGCAACCCGUCCCGGGGGAACAGUGACAGGUGGGGAGUUUGUGACUGGGGGGUACACUCGUUCAACGUUAACGCAGGUGUCCUAAGGCGAGCUCAGGGAGGACAGAAACCUCCCGUGGAGCAGAAGGGCAAAAGCUCGCUUGAUCUUGAUUUUCAGUUAUGAGUACAGACGGUGAAAGCGCGGCCUCACGAUCCUUCUGACCGUUUUGGGUUUUAAGGCAGGAGGUGUCAGAAAAGUUACCACAGGAUUAACUGGCUUGUGGCGCCAAGCGUUCAUAGCGACGUCGCUUUUUGAUCCUUCGAUGUCGGCUCUUCCUAUCAUUGUGAAGCAGAAUUCACCAAGCGUUGGAUUUGUCACCCACUAAAUAUAGGGAACGUGAGCUGGGUUUAGACCGUCGUGAGACAGGUUAUUUUACCCCUCUGAUGAUGUGUUUUGCAAAUAGUUAAUCCUGCUCAGUACGAGAGGAACCGCAGUUCAGACAUUUGGUGAUGUCUUGGCUGAGGAGCCAAUGGGCGAAGCUCUACCAUCUGUGGGGCUAUGACUGAACGCCUCUAAGUCAGAAUCCCCCCUAGAUGUGAUGAUACCAAUAGUGCCCGGGCUAUAAGAUUGAUCCGGGAUAACCGACCCCCCCCGGGGGCCGGCGCAGAAAGAGACAUUUGAUUACUGGCUUGGGGUGCGGCGCAGAAUGAUGGUCGCCCCUCCUCCAUGAUCUCACACCACACAUGUUUACCAAGGACUGGGUGUUAAACCACUCUGCAUAACGACCUGAUUCUGGUGU